UACAAGUUAAAUAUAAUGUACUUUCCUUCCCAAAAGUUCUCAGAACUACAGGAUUUUAACUAAAAGGAACUUUUAGUUAAUCUGGUCUCCUCUAACCAGCAUAAGUCUUACUACAAUAAUGUGGAUAAGUCAAGCCAAAGCAUUUAUUAACCCAAAUCACUUUAUGUAUUUUCUUAUUUCAUCUACUUUGUCACACUCAAUAAAAACUGAAGAUUACACUGGAGCAGAAAAAAAGAUUUAAAGAUAAUUCUAACCUUCUUUGGACACAGUUAAGGGCAGAGAACUGUGAUUGGUAGAGAGGAAUAAGAGAAAGCAGAGGAGUAGCUGGCCCAGAGAGGAAGCUAUGGAGAGAAAGGAGAUUCAGCAGAAGAAAGGGAUGUUUGGCCACAACAACCAAAGAUGUUGAUAACUCCUACCCACUUGUAUUAUCCACUCAAUCUCAGUGUUUGCUUCUGGAGAACCAAACCUGAAGUAGGCAGCUGACUGGAUGUUGGAAAAUCCUUUUUCAAGAUGGCUUACUCCUAUGACUGUCUCCAGGGGGCUGGCUCUUCUGCCCACCACCACCCCUACACUCCACUAUACCUUAUCAUCAAGAUGUUCUUGCAUGUAAAACUUAAUGAAGGUGCUUACUUACUUGGGCGUCAGCCUAAUAAUGUCUUCAGAGUAUCUGCUGGGAACACAGAACAGCACUCAAGUCAGAGGAGCAUACAAAGGAAACAAAGGAUAUAGCUCUGUUCUUCAGAAGACUAUAUUUGAAAUGAAGAGAAUGAUAGACAGAAACUGAAGUAUAUUUUUCCAAGGCAUCUUCUUCCAUUAUUUCCCAGUGCAGAUUCCAAGUGAAAACUGAGGAUACAUUAAAUUCUAAGGAAGUAUUGAUAUUGUGUGAUUUGUCAGGGCAGGUUAUAAUGUGGGUGUUGAAAUUGG